AGCGAACGCUGGCGGCAGGCCUAACACAUGCAAGUCGAACGAAGUCUUCGGACUUAGUGGCGGACGGGUGAGUAACACGUGGGAACGUACCUUUUGGUUCGGAACAACUCAGGGAAACUUGAGCGAAUACCGAAUGUGCCCUUAGGGGGAAAGAUUUAUCGCCAUUAGAGUGGCCCGCGGUAGAUUAGCUAGUUGGUGAGGUAAAGGCUCACCAAGGCUACGAUCUAUAGCUGGUCUGAGAGGAUGAUCAGCCACACUGGGACUGAGACACGGCCCAGACUCCUACGGGAGGCAGCAGUGGGGAAUCUUGCGCAAUGGGCGAAAGCCUGACGCAGCCAUGCCGCGUGAAUGAUGAAGGUCUUAGGAUUGUAAAAUUCUUUUAGCAGGGACGAUAAUGACGGUACCUGCAGAAAAAGCCCCGGCUAACUUCGUGCCAGCCGCCGCGGUAAUAC
rnacentral:rRNA from 1 species